UCCCGGAUUGAUAACUACUUGACGUGGUUGAUGCCUCUACCCGCGUUUUGUUUUAACAGUCCGGAAAAUUAAACCUCUCUUUUCGUCUUUCUUGUUUCUCGCUCAUCCCAUAGCUUGUCACAUUGCCGUUAACUGAAACAUCAAAUCG
rnacentral:snoRNA from 1 species